AGUUUGAUCAGGGCUCAGGAUGAACGCUGGCGGCUUGAUUAACACAUGCAAGUCGAGCGAUGAAGAUUCCUUCGGGAAACAGAUUAGCGGCGGACGGGUGACUAACACGUGGGUAACCGGCCUCAUAGAGUGGAAUAGCCUUCCGAAAGGAAGAUUAAUACCGCAUAAUGUUGAAAGACGGCAUCAUCAUUCAACCAAAGGAGCAAUCCGAUAUGAGAUGGGCCCGCGGCGCAUUAGCUAGUUGGUGGGGUAACGGCCUACCAAGGGGACGACGCGUAGCCGGCCUGAGAGGCUGAUCGCCCACUCUGGGAGUGAGACACGGCCCAGACUCCUACGGGAGGCAGCAGUGGGGAAUAUUGCACAAUGGGGGAAACCAUGAUGCAGCAACGCCGCGUGAGUGAUGAAGGUUUUCGGAUCGUAAAGCUCUGUCAUUGGGAAGAUAAUGACGGUACCCAAAGAAUAAGCCACGGCUAACUACGGCCAGCAG
rnacentral:rRNA from 1 species